CCCCAUAAACCACAAAUUGGGGGUCUACAGGAGAAUCCAAAGCUCUCCCAAGUCCUUCUGCAGAGACUGCGUGCGAGGACUCAAACCAACCAACCGCCCACCUACUUUAAACAGUUGGUCCUGCGUCACAGCAGGUGGACAGAAGGCUGUUUCGGAGGGCCCUGGCUUGGGGUGGUGGACGGAGAAAGCUCAGUAUUUACCUCUCCCAGGAGCAGGAUGCUAUGGACAGGCAACACAAAGCCCUGAGAACCUGGUUCUGCAUUGUUCCUCCAUACCACCUGCUUCGUGUUUCCCGAACUUAUUUCCUACCAUUCUCUCCUGAGAAAAAACAAAGCAGCCGCUUCUUACGCUACAUGAUAAAGGUACAGAGAGACGGAUCCACUCACUGCCCGCUUUGCUCCCCCUCGGAACUCACCCUUCACCCUAAAAUGAUGAUGAGAAGAGGCAAAACGCAGCCCGUGUCCAAAUCUCGGGGCACGUGCCAACCCAAAUGGUGUCUUCCAGCAAACCAACAGAAGGGGGGAAAAACUCCACUCGAGGUAAUCAAGACAUGUUACCAUGUCCUCGGGGGGGGGCAACAUCCAGACGAAUAAGUGGCUACGGUGACACGGUAGAUAAUACCACUUGAGAGUAUCAGUACUUGUCCCGACAGAAGGCAGAUUUGAGAAGGCAAAAAAAGCGGUCAAAGGCUGUUUUUAAACAUUGCCGAGUGCAACAUCUGUCAAACAAAUUCAAGUGAUCCCUCUAAAACGUAAAAAAAAAAAUAAAUAAAUCUGGCUUAAUGACUGCAAGGCUCUUCAAGAACCGAAAGCGGGAAUUUGAUGUCCACAUAUUCUACAGAACUGCCUUUCCUUCCAGACUACGAGG